UACGUAGGUGGCAAGCGUUGUCCGGAAUUAUUGGGCGUAAAGGGUGCGUAGGUGGCUCUUUAAGUGGGAUGUGAAAGCCCUUGGCUCAACCAAGGAACUGCAUUCCAAACUGGAGAGCUAGAGUGCAGGAGAGGAAAGUGGAAUUCCUAGUGUAGCGGUGAAAUGCGUAGAGAUUAGGAGGAACACCAGUGGCGAAGGCGACUUUCUGGACUGUAACUGACACUGAGGCACGAAAGCGUGGGGAGCAAACAGG
rnacentral:rRNA from 1 species